AGGACGAACGCUGGCGGCGUGCCUAAUACAUGCAAGUCGAGCGGAACUGAAAGAGCUUGCUCUUUCAGUUUAGCGGCGGACGGGUGAGUAACACGUGGGCAACCUGCCCUGCAGAUCGGGAUAACUCCGGGAAACCGGUGCUAAUACCGAAUAGUUUGGAACCUCUCCUGAGGUUCCACGGAAAGACGGUUUCGGCUGUCACUGCAGGAUGGGCCCGCGGCGCAUUAGCUAGGUUGGUGGGGUAAUGGCCCACCAAGGCGACGAUGCGUAGCCGACCUGAGAGGGUGAUCGGCCACACUGGGACUGAGACACGGCCCAGACUCCAGGGAGCAGCAGUAGGAAUCUUCCGACAAUGGACGCAAGUCUGACGGAGCAACGCCGCGUGAGUGACGGUAAGGUUUCGAUACGUAAAACUCUGUUGUAGAGGGUAAGAACGAACGUAACCAAGUAACUACGUAGGUACCUUCGACGUACCUACGACCAAGAACGCCACGGACUAACGUACGUGACC
rnacentral:rRNA from 1 species